rnacentral:lncRNA from 1 species
AAAGUAAAACACUUAAAACCCAUCAAACAUCAUGCGAUACAAAUCCUUAAAAACAACAUCAUUUCAUGCAAGAAAACUAACCAAGCAAUCAUACAUUUCGUUAUCCUUAAACAUUUCAAUAUCUAGAAAACUUAAUGGAAGAGUAUGUGAAAAUACCAAAACUCUUACCUAAUUUCCAAGCUUUUGGUUUCCAAAAUAAGGUUGUUUACGUAUUUAAAGGAGAAGGAAGGUUGUUUGACAAUUCGUAGAUUUUUAAAAAUUUCUGGAAAUAAAUGAAAAGGAGAGUCUAAGAACCAGUCCUUAUAAGUCUUAUUGAAGAAACAAAAUCGAGAAAAAAAAGACUUAUUGUACAAGUGGAAAAGUUUUCUCACUCUUCUUUUGUUUGUCUCAUUCUCUCUCUACUUUCUCUCUCUAACCUCUCUCUCUCCUCUCUCAACCAAAUGUAAAAGAAGAAGAAAAUGGGGAAAAUGGGUGAUAAGAGUGGAGAGGAAGGCUUUAAAUAGCCAAAGGGAGAAAAAAUGCAUGUGCGGCAUGUGGCGGCAUGCAUGCGUGCCACGUGGUAGUUGGCGGCAUGGUUCAAGUGGCUACAGACAGGACGUGACAGACGACUACAGUGGUGACGGGAUAAUAACAGGCGACGUGACAUGUGGUAAGUACCCGACAGGCAGUGUGUGGGCAGCCACUGUACGCAAUGGGACCUGUUGCAGGUGCAUAGGUGGCGAGUGUGCAGUCAUAAGUGUGCAGAUGGGAUAGGUGUUGGGAUGCGAAUUAUACGCGCGCGG